UCAGUCUGGCUCUGCGGACGACGCGGCGGAAAUCGAGAAGGGCUUCCCUUCCAGGGGCCGUCCGCCGCGGAGCCUUCUGCGGUUCCAGACGCAUUUGUCUCUCGGCCGAAGGACGCUGCAGCCGGUCUGGCAGUGCAAGCGUGACGGCCUGAAUGUCGGGAGAUGGCAGGUGGCCGGCGGCCCGCCUCGUUGGGGGUCGUCGGUUGUUAGCCGUCCCGUCGGUGGCCCGUCGCCAGACCGUGGUCUCGCGGGACUCCUCGUCUCCACCCUGAGUCGCGGGACGGAUCGCGGCGAGGUUGCCUCGUUCUUCCGUCGCACCCCCUCGGUGUGGACGGAGAAACGUGGUGCCCCGUUGGCCGCGGCGGACCCGUCGGGGACCGGAGGCUGGCAGCGAGUAGGUCGGUCACCCACCCGACCCGUCUUGAAACACGGACCAAGGAGUCUAACAUGUGCGCGAGUCAAUGGGUCUUGACUAGGCCCAGGGGCGCAACGAAAGCGAAGGACGACCUCGCGUAGUCCGAGCGGGGAUCCUCCUUCCUCGGAGGGGGGCGCACCCGCGACCCGUCCUGUGCGGCUCGUCGCUUGGACGGUGUCUGAGCGCACACGUUGGGACCCGAAAGGUGGUGAACUAUUCCCGGGCAGAAUGAAGCCAGGGGAAGCCCUGGUGGAGGUUCGCAGCGGUUCUGACGUGCAA
rnacentral:rRNA from 1 species